ensembl:lncRNA
AUUUUUACUGAAUGUGUGCAUUAAUAUUCUCAUUUUGCAUUUAACUGCUUUGCUAAAAUGUUUUGUCUUCAUGCCUUCCCCUUUAAAGACUUCUUCCAUCUGAAAAAACGUCGGUGACAUUUCAGUGUUCACUUUCCUUCUUGCGAUGGAACUUGCAGCCUGCAUGCCCGUUCUGAGAUUAGUGAAGAGAAGUGCAGAAGUACAGUUACAUAAGGGUUGCUUUUAGUAGGAUGCACGCAUACUUUCUUCUCUCCUGGUGUUAGGGAUCCUAUUCACGCUUGCAGUUAUGAGUAACAAAAGGUAGACGCAGAUCAGACCCUUUGCAGAAUGGGCUCUUCAAUCCGUGCGUCUUUUGUUUUUGACGGCAAAUAACAUCUAUUCUCUUCUGAGCUGUUUUCUUAAGCGUUUGGGAAAAGAGAAAUUCCUUCCCCAGCCCUGACCCCCCUCUCCCUGGGCAUCAGAGCUGGAGCUUGCCAGGCAUGCGGCAGCGGAGCUUUGUGUUGCUUGGAGGGGAGACCCGAGCCUUAGGAAACAGUCGGUGCAUACUAAGUCCCUCGCUCACUGAAAGCCUCAGUUACCGUGAAAAUUAAACGUUUCCUAUUGAAAGGAAGUGGGGGAAGCCGGUUGACAGCGGCGCUCGUCCGCCAUCUACUGGGGGAGAGCGCUCGGGCUUCACCCAGGCACAGCUCCGGCCGCGCCGUCACGUAAUGCGCUUUGGUGCGGCGUUAGGGCUGCGGAAGAGUUUGUAACUACGACUUUACCCAAUGGAAGUAUGACAUCGUGCAGGGAUUCUUUGUCUCGUCGUGCCUCUUAAAUUUUACCGUUAGUGUUGAUUAAAAACUUAAAAAUGCUUUAGUCGUGUGUUCUGUUAGGCUGUCGUAGUUACUUUAUUGCAUAAAAGCGUAAGAGUGAGGAAUGGAACAACUUCUUCAGGUGCUGUCAUUAGGUGUGAGAGAUUCCUAUCAACGAAGUGAAGGCACGUUGGUGUUCCUGCAGAAGAAAUCUGGCUCUUUGGCUUGUGAUGUGAAUGGAGCCUGAAUACGCACAGGUGUGCCUGUGCACCUCCUCAUGCACUGCAGUGGUUCGGAGGGCUACACCCACAGCUGCGUGCAAGAUUAAAGCAACGUUCUGAAAAUCUACAAUUACUAUGGAAACUGCUUAGUAAAUAGCAGCAAAGGAUGGCACAAACCUCAGCUGCCUUCCCAGAGCUUAUAUAAGGGAUGCUGCAAGCAGGCUUAGCCCAGCUCCUCUAGGAAAACAAAGUCCUCAGAAGAAUGUCUUAAUUUUGUGUGUUGGGAUAUCACAUUCCCUUUUCAGUUAUGUUCUCUUCUGAACGUUCUGUUCGUGCGUACCUGGAGGGUAAUGCUCAACUCCUGAUUCAAUAAUGCACGGGUUCAUAUUGGACUUUAAAUCUGACACAGUAUGCCACCAGCACAGUGAUGCAUUUAUCUCAAUAGAGUGAAGAUGGGGUCAUGGCUGGCAACAAAAUGCUAGCUUUUAAAAGAUGCUUUAUGGUACUCUUAGUGCAGCAGCGGGGUGGAUAAAACUUCCCUUUCCUUUGAUGCACUGACAAAUAGGAGGAAAGGUGGGCUUGAGGAGCAAGGCAGCGUUCGGUUUCUUUUUGUUUGUUUUCCUGGAAACUUCUCUUUCUUGAUUGCAAAAUUCAUGAUUAGUUGAAGAAAUGGAAGCAUUUGGUGAAGAAGCAGCCUUCAUCCUUGAGGCUCCGAUAUAAUCUGUACAGAAUUUUCUCCUUUUGCUUGGUGCUGUUUGCUUUCCACCCUUAUGACCUCGAAGUGCCUCAUGUAUAUUGUCUCCAUUAAACCUCAACUGCCCUUUCUUUCUAAUUGAUGUAUCGCUGUGUUAACUCAUCCCGUAGCUUUUUCCUUUUAUGCCAAUGAAUACAGCUUGUUACUUUGAGUAUAUAAUGUAAAUAUGCCUUUAAAUUUGUAACAGAUUUGUUACAUCACAUCCUUGUAAGCCGACAUAGCAGAUAACACCUUAAAAAUUGUUUAAAUGUUUUUUUUUUUUUUCCUGUAAUUACCUGAUUAAAACUAUCUUGAAAUGAAACAGCUGACGCGUUGUUCCAUUCUGUGUGGGGAUUACUCCAAACAGUGCCUAUGAAGUCAAGUGCUACAGCACGAGAACAGAAUAAAAAGAUGUAAAUCCAGGUGAUGUUUGGUCACAGCGUCCUGUGCCUUUAUUAAACAAAAUGUUGAUCAAAUCAUUUUUCUGAUAUUUAAAAUUGGUCAAAACUAAGCGUUGCAUUGCCUUAAAAGUUCCCACGGUUCACUGUGAGAUCUGUUCUGAAGAGUUGCUAUACCACUGUAAACAAAAAAUGUCCUUGCUUUUAAUCAACAGCAGCGCUUGCUCUUGUCAUCAUACCAUGCAGGUCAGGAUUCCUUUAUGUGAUAUAAAUUCUUUCUAUUCAGGAUUUCACCACCCCCACCACGAAACAUAUAAAUAAAUAAAUGGUGCAUGAUUAAAUGUAAUUUUAAGUU